rnacentral:rRNA from 1 species
GAUGAACGCUGGCGGCGUGCCUAAUACAUGCAAGUCGAGCGAACAGACGAGGAGCUUGCUCCUCUGACGUUAGCGGCGGACGGGUGAGUAACACGUGGAUAACCUACCUAUAAGACUGGGAUAACUUCGGGAAACCGGAUCUAAUACCGGAUAAUAUAUUGAACCGCAUGGUUCAAUAGUGAAAGACGGUUUUGCUGUCACUUAUAGAUGUAUCCGCGCCUCAUUAGCUAGUUGGUAAGGUAACGGCUUCCCAAGGCAACGAUUCGUAGCCGACCUGAGAGGGUGAUCGGCCACACUGGAACUGAGACACGGUCCAGACUCCUACGGGAGGCAGCAGUAGGGAAUCUUCCGCAAUGGGCGAAAGCCUGACGGAGCAACGCCGCGGGAGUGAUGAAGGUCUUCGGAUCGUAAACCUCUGUUAUUAGGGAAGAACAAAUGUGUAAGUAACUAUGCACGUCUUGACGGUACCUAAUCAGAAAGCCACGGCUAACUACGUG